UACGGGGGGGGCAAGCGUUGUUCGGAAUUACUGGGCGUAAAGGGCUCGUAGGCGGCCAACUAAGUCAGACGUGAAAUCCCUCGGCUUAACCGGGGAACUGCGUCUGAUACUGGAUGGCUAGAGGUUGGGAGAGGGAUGCGGAAUUCCAGGUGUAGCGGUGAAAUUCGUAGAUAUCGGGAGGAACACCAGCGGCGAAGGCGGCCAUCUGGACAGAUAUUGACGCUGAGGUGCGAAAGCGUGGGGAGCAAACAGG
rnacentral:rRNA from 1 species